AUGGAGAUUACGAGCAGCACGAUGGUGAAGCUGGCGUACAGCACGCCACACCCGCUCGUCGGCGAGAAGGUGCCGCUGACCGUCUUCGACCGCGCCGCCCUGGACAUCUUCGUCCCCAUCGUACUCACCUACCCCGCGCCGGCGCCGCCCAACAAGGCGCCGAGGGAGGGGCUCCUCAAGGCCGUCGCGCCAUACCCUGGCGGGGCGCCUCGCCCUCGACGACGACGGCCGGCGCUUCCUCCACGUCAACAACGAGGGCGUGCUCCUGAUCGAGGCCACCGCCCCGGUCGACCUGGCGGACGUGCUCGUCGAUGGCCGCAUGGCCGCUGGCGUCGAGGACCUCUACCCUAUGUUACCAGAGGAAAACAUCAGGGCAGCGCUGCUGCAGAUCCAGCUGAACAGGUACAAGUGUGGUGGUCUCGUGGUCCGCAUAAGCUGCCACCACCACACGGCCGACGGCCAUUCCAUGAGCAUGUUCUUCACGACGUGGCAACGGCGGUGCGCGAGGGUAAGGACUUCACCACGCCGACCCCGUUCCCUGACCGUGCGAGAACCGCCGUGCCUCGAAUCACGCCGACGCCGGUGUUCGACCACCGGUCACUGUACUUCACGUGUGGAGAUGGAGACGCCUACGCCGUCGUCCCCAUGGACAGGAUCAAAAACCUCACUCUGCACUUCACGGCCGAGUUCGUUGCCGACCUCAAAUCCCGCGUGGGCGCCCGUUGCAGCACGUUCCAGUGCCUACUCAUGCACGUCUGGAAGAAGCUCACGGCGGCGCGGGACCUGAAGCCGGAGGAGUUCACCAAGGUGAGGGUGGCCGUGAACUGCAGGGGCAGGGCAGACCCUCCUGUGCCGAUGGACUUCUUCGGCAACAUGGUGCUCUGGGCUUUUCCAAGGCUUCAGGUCCAGGACAUCCUGAACUCAAGCUACGGCAGCGUGGUCGGCGUCAUCCGGGACGCCGUGGCGCGCAUCGACGACGAGUACGUGCAAUCCUUCGUGGACUUCGACGGAGUGGCGGACGCGAACGGGGAGGAGCUCGUCGCGACGGCGGCCGCUGCCGGCACGAUGUUCUGCCCGGACGCAGAGGUGGACAGUUGGCUGGGGUUCAGGUUCCAUCAGCUCGAUUUUGAUACCGGCGCACCAUCCGCUUUCGUGCCGCCAGACUUGCCUUUCACGGUCCUACCUGUUGUCUUCCUUUCUAGAAAACCAUGGAAACUAUGGUGUGCUUCGCUCCCUGCUACCUUAUUACUGAAACUAUACAUCUGA
rnacentral:rRNA from 1 species